rnacentral:rRNA from 1 species
AGCCUCCGAGUCCUUAACUGACGCUAAAGCUCGAAAGUGCGGGUAUCGAACAGGAUUAGAUACCCUGGUAGUCCGCACGGUAAACGAUGGAUGCCCGCUGUUUGCGAUACACAGUAAGCGGCCAAGAGAAAUCGUUAAGCAUCCCACCUGGGGAGUACGCCGGCAACGGUGAAACUCAAAGGAAUUGACGGGGGCCCGCACAAGCGGAGGAACAUGUGGUUUAAUUCGAUGAUACGCGAGGAACCUUACCCGGGCUUGGACUGCCAGCGAACGAUUCAGAGAUGAUGAGGCCCUUCGGGGCGCUGGUGGAGGUGCUGCAUGGUUGUCGUCAGCUCGUGCCGUGAGGUGUCGGCUUAAGUGCCAUAACGAGCGCAACCCCUUUCUUCAGUUGCCAUCAGGCAAUGCUGGGCACUCUGGAGACACUGCCGCCGUAAGGUGUGAGGAAGGUGGGGAUGACGUCAAAUCAGCACGGCCUGACGUGCGGGUGUACACACGUGUUACAAUGGGUGGUACAGAGAGUCGGCCGUGCGCAAGUGCGGUCUAAUCAAGAAAGCCAUCCUCAGUCCGAUUGGGGUCGCAACCCGACCCCAGAAGCUGGAU